GACGUAGGGGGGCAAGCGUUAUUCGGAAUCAUUGGGCGUAAAGCGCUCGUAGGCGGAUCGGACAGUCGGUGAAGAAAGACCCGGGCUCAACUCGGGGAACGGCACCGAUACUAUCGAUCUUGAGGCAAUCAGAGGGUGAUGGAAUUCCCGGUGUAGCGGUGAAAUGCGUAGAGAUCCGGAAGAACACCGGUGGCGAAGGCGGUCUGCUGGGCAGUAGCUGACACUGAGGCGCGACAGCGUGGGGAGCAAACAGG
rnacentral:rRNA from 1 species